rnacentral:rRNA from 1 species
GGAUUAGAUACCCUGGUAGUCCACGCCGUAAACGAUGAGAACUAGUCGUUGGGGGUUUACCCUUAGUGACGUAGCUAACGCGUUAAGUUCUCCGCCUGGGGAGUACGGCCGCAAGGUUAAAACUCAAAGGAAUUGACGGGGGCCCGCACAAGCGGUGGAGCAUGUGGUUUAAUUCGAUGCAACGCGAAGAACCUUACCUACCCUUGACAUCCUCAGAAUUCUCUAGAGAUAGAGAAGUGCCCUCGGGAACUGAGUGACAGGUGCUGCAUGGCUGUCGUCAGCUCGUGCCG